rnacentral:rRNA from 1 species
UGGGUAGGGGAGCGUUCUGUAAGCCUGUGAAGGUGGCCUGUGAGGGUUGCUGGAGGUAUCAGAAGUGCGAAUGCUGACAUAAGUAACGAUAAAGCGGGUGAAAAGCCCGCUCGCCGGAAGACCAAGGGUUCCUGUCCAACGUUAAUCGGGGCAGGGUGAGUCGACCCCUAAGGCGAGGCCGAAAGGCGUAGUCGAUGGGAAACGGGUUAAUAUUCCCGUACUUGGUGUUACUGCGAAGGGGGGACGGAGAAGGCUAUGUUGGCCGGGCGACGGUUGUCCCGGUUUAAGCGUGUAGGUGUGUGUUCCAGGUAAAUCCGGUUCACUUUAACACUGAGGCGUGAUGACGAGGCACUACGGUGCUGAAGCAACAAAUGCCCUGCUUCCAGGAAAAGCCUCUAAGCAUCAGGUAACAUCAAAUCGUACCCCAAACCGACACAGGUGGUCAGGUAGAGAAUACCAAGGCGCUUGAGAGAACUCGGGUGAAGGAACUAGGCAAAAUGGUGCCGUAACUUCGGGAGAAGGCACGCUGACAUGUAGGUGAAGUGAUUUACUCAUGGAGCUGAAGUCAGUCGAAGAUACCAGCUGGCUGCAACUGUUUAUUAAAAACACAGCACUGUGCAAACACGAAAGUGGACGUAUACGGUGUGACGCCUGCCCGGUGCCGGAAGGUUAAUUGAUGGGGUCAGCGCAAGCGAAGCUCCUGAUCGAAGCCCCGGUAAACGGCGGCCGUAACUAUAACGGUCCUAAGGUAGCGAAAUUCCUUGUCGGGUAAGUUCCGACCUGCACGAAUGGCGUAAUGAUGGCCAGGCUGUCUCCACCCGAGACUCAGUGAAAUUGAACUCGCUGUGAAGAUGCAGUGUACCCGCGGCAAGACGGAAAGACCCCGUGAACCUUUACUAUAGCUUGACACUGAACAUUGAGCCUUGAUGUGUAGGAUAGGUGGGAGGCUUUGAAGCGUGGACGCCAGUCUGCAUGGAGCCGGCCUUGAAAUACCACCCUUUAAUGUUUGAUGUUCUAACGUGGACCCGUGAUCCGGGUUGCGGACAGUGUCUGGUGGGUAGUUUGACUGGGGCGGUCUCCUCCUAAAGAGUAACGGAGGAGCACGAAGGUUGGCUAAUCCUGGUCGGACAUCAGGAGGUUAGUGCAAUGGCAUAAGCCAGCUUGACUGCGAGCGUGACGGCGCGAGCAGGUGCGAAAGCAGGUCAUAGUGAUCCGGUGGUUCUGAAUGGAAGGGCCAUCGCUCAACGGAUAAAAGGUACUCCGGGGAUAACAGGCUGAUACCGCCCAAGAGUUCAUAUCGACGGCGGUGUUUGGCACCUCGAUGUCGGCUCAUCACAUCCUGGGGCUGAAGUAGGUCCCAAGGGUAUGGCUGUUCGCCAUUUAAAGUGGUACGCGAGCUGGGUUUAGAACGUCGUGAGACAGUUCGGUCCCUAUCUGCCGUGGGCGCUGGAGAACUGAGGGGGGCUGCUCCUAGUACGAGAGGACCGGAGUGGACGCAUCACUGGUGUUCGGGUUGUCAUGCCAAUGGCACUGCCCGGUAGCUAAAUGCGGAAGAGAUAAGUGCUGAAAGCAUCUAAGCACGAAACUUGCCCCGAGAUGAGUUCU